UCAAAUGUAUCUGUUCGAACACACUUUAGUUCAGUACGUGCUCUCUUAACGUCUAAACGUGUGCGUGUGUCCGUAAGGAACGUUGUGUUCAACUUCUAAAGUUCUGAGUAUUUCAAUGGGGUGACUUGUGAAACUUAGUUUAACUCCUGAACCCGGGACAAAAAAGGGAACAAAUUAAUUAAGAUAUUUCAUAAUUCCGUUCCUACUAUCAAAAGACAAUAUUGCUCAUCACUUUUUCUAUUCAAAACUUAAAAUCUGGCCAAAACAUUAACAGUUUUUGCAGUCAUCAAUUAUAACCCAUCAUUUGGAGCAACAGAAAUAAAGCAAACAAAUCCAAUUGAAGAAUUUUUUUUACCAAAACUAUCAUAAAUCCAGUCCAGCUUCAGCAUCCAUCCAUUAUCAAGUACUUAAUUUAUUGCUCGAAUUGCCAAAGUCAUCUUCCUUUAUUACUUUCUAAAUUCUGAACAACGUCAUCAACAUCCAUCUGUUAACAAGUCGACCAAAGAAAAAAUACUUUCUCCGAUGACCAACGAGGUCGUUAACAAAGAGAAAGUGGACACCACCUGCUACUGCUGCUGCUGCUACGGUACAGGUCAAGAGGUUAUCGAAAUUGAUAACAACAUCAACGCCAUUCACAGCAUUCUACUGAACACGGGACACUCCUACGCUGCCCGAGCAGAUCUCAAUUAUCGAGUUUAAACUUUGUGGCGUCAAGUGAACGCCUACAGCUGAGUGAUCCCAUCG
rnacentral:sRNA from 1 species